rnacentral:rRNA from 1 species
GUAAGCGUGCGCAGGCGGUUUGUAAGACUGUCGUGAAAUCCCCGGGCUCAACCUGGGAAUGGCGAUGGUGACUGCAAGGCUAGAGUUUGGCAGAGGGGGGUAGAAUUCCACGUGUAGCAGUGAAAUGCGUAGAUAUGUGGAGGAACACCGAUGGCGAAGGCAGCCCCCUGGGUCAAAACUGACGCUCAUGCACGAAAGCGUGGGGAGCAAACAGGAUUAGAUACCCGUGU